rfam:Myceliophthora thermophila ATCC 42464 chromosome 2, complete sequence.
GCCCGGCUAGCUCAAUCGGUAGAGCGUGAGACUCUUAAGUCUUAGGUCCAUCUCAAGGUUGUGGGUUCGACCCCCACGUCGGGCU